GAGGGUAUAGCUCAAGUGGUAGAGCACAUGCCUAGCACACACAAAGUCCUGGGUUUAAUCCCCUGUACUUCCU
rnacentral:tRNA from 1 species